rnacentral:rRNA from 1 species
UACGGGGGGGGGGCAAGCGUUGUUCGGAAUUACUGGGCGUAAAGGGCGCGUAGGCGGCACCGCAAGUCGGGUGUGAAAGCCCUCAGCUCAACUGAGGAAGUGCGCCCCGAAACUGCAGAGCUUGAGUGCCGGAGAGGGUGGCGGAAUUCCCCCAAGUAGAGGUGAAAUUCGUAGAUAUGGGGAGGAACACCGGUGGCGAAGGCGGCCACCUGGACGGUAACUGACGCUGAGACGCGAAAGCGUGGGGAGCAAACAGG